rnacentral:rRNA from 1 species
UACGAAGGGGGCUAGCGUUGCUCGGAGUCACUGGGCGUAAAGCGCACGUAGGCGGAUCGUUAAGUCGGAGGUGAAAUCCUGGAGCUCAACUCCAGAACUGCCUUCGAUACUGGCGAUCUCGAGUCCGGGAGAGGUGAGUGGAACUGCGAGUGUAGAGGUGAAAUUCGUAGAUAUUCGCAAGAACACCAGUGGCGAAGGCGGCUCACUGGCCCGGUACUGACGCUGAGGUGCGAAAGCGUGGGGAGCAAACAGG